UGGGGAAUUUUGGACAAUGGGCGCAAGCCUGAUCCAGCCAUGCCGCGUGCGGGAAGAAGGCCUUCGGGUUGUAAACCGCUUUUGUCAGGGAAGAAAUCUUCUGAGUUAAUACCUCGGGAGGAUGACGGUACCUGAAGAAUAAGCACCGGCUAACUACGUGCCAGCAGCCGCGGUAAUACGUAGGGUGCAAGCGUUAAUCGGAAUUACUGGGCGUAAAGCGUGCGCAGGCGGUUUUGUAAGACAGAGGUGAAAUCCCCGGGCUCAACCUGGGAACUGCCUUUGUGACUGCAAGGCUUGAGUGCGGCAGAGGGGGAUGGAAUUCCGCGUGUAGCAGUGAAAUGCGUAGAUAUGCGGAGGAACACCGAUGGCGAAGGCAAUCCCCUGGGCCUGCACUGACGCUCAUGCGCGAAAGCGUGGGGAGCAAACAGGAUUAGAUACCCUGGUAGUCCACGCCCUAAACGAUGUCAACUGUUGUUGGGAAGGUUCCUUCUCAGUAACGUAGCUAACGCGUGAAGUUGGACCGCCUGGGGAGUACGGCCGCAAGGUUGAAACUUAAAUGAAUUGACGGGGUCAUAGCUGUUUCCU
rnacentral:rRNA from 1 species